rnacentral:rRNA from 1 species
GACGCACGCUGGCGGCGUGCUUAACACAUGCAAGUCGAGCGGAGCGGCGGACGGGUGAGUAACGCGUGAGUAACUGCCCCCCUCUCUGGGCUAACAGUUGGAAACGGCUGCUAAUACCGGAUAGUGGGGGAUGACUCGCGUCCUAUCCGCUUGUUGGUUGGGUAGUUGCUUACCAAGGCGACGACGGGUCGCCGGACUGAGAGGGCGACCGGCCACAAUGGGCUGAGAUACGGCCCAAACUCCUACGUGAGGCAGCAGGGGGGAAUAUUGCACAAUGGGGGAAACCCUGAUGCAGAAACGCCGCGUGCGGGAUGACGGCCUUCGGGUGGUAAACCGCUUUCAGCCAUGACGCGGUAGUGGCAGAAGAAGCACCGGCUAACUACGUGCCAGCAGCCGCGGUAAUUC